rnacentral:tRNA from 1 species
GCCCAGCACUGGUAAGGACAAUCACACUCACUCGUAAUGAGAAGGUCGCCAGUUCGACUCUGGCAGGAGGCC